rnacentral:lncRNA from 1 species
CUACUACUUUCAAGACUAGCAAAUUUCUACAAGCUUUUAUACUGCACAAUAGGUCCACACCAUUUCGCACAUCAGAACACCUAAUGUCUACAGCAAUUAUGUGUACAUCAUUAAUAACGUACGUAACUGUGUAUAACUAAAACGUCUACAUCAUCAAUUGUGUAUGCAAACAUUACUUCGCCACAGUAUCAACUGUGUACGCCCUGUUACCACGUACACUACGCAUCCGUACAACAUACUUCCGAUAUGUGGCAGAGGUAUAGAGCACAUUGAGUGUAUGUACAACUAAGACUUGCCAUACCUUGCAAAUAUGUAAAACAGUUUUCCGCGAACUAAUAGCGUACACUUAAAUUGUAUGUACAAACUAACCCUUGCCCUAUUGUCCACCACCCUUUCAAGCUACUGUGGUGUACACUCAACAUUGUACAUCAUUUGCGCUGCCGCAUACACUCACCAGCGUAAAUUAUACGCCCGCGUUGUACAUCAUUACCUUUACUUUCCUUGUACCCCGUCCUCUAUUGUGCGCCCGUCGUGUACAUCCUCAACUCAUGUGUCCGAAACAUCAUGCGUCGUUCAUGGUUGACUUUGCCUUGUACACCGUCCUCUCUCGCAAAGCAGUGUACAUCAUCAAUUACCAUAGCGACUACAUAAAAACAUAUAAACAAGAGUAACUGUUGCACUCUUUAAUUGGUAUGCAUUAUUUAAUCGGCCGCGUACGUCGUACAC